UACAGAGGGUGCGAGCGUUAAUCGGAAUUACUGGGCGUAAAGCGCGCGUAGGCGGCUUUGCAAGUCGGGAUGCCGAAAUCCCCCAGGCUUAACCUGGGGAACUGCAUUCGAGACUGCAUUGCUAGAGUAUGGGAGAGGGAAGUGGAAUUUCCGGUGUAGCGGUGAAAAUGCGUAGAUAUCGGAAGGAACAUCAGUGGCGAAAAGCGACUUCC
rnacentral:rRNA from 1 species